AGUAACACGUGGGCAAUCUGUCGUCUCGUGGGGGAUAACACCGGGAAACCGGUGCUAAUACCGCAUGUCAUCUCCGGUCGCAUGGCCGGUGAGAAAAGCAGCAAUGCGCGAGAUGGUGAGCCCGCGGCCUAUCAGCUUGUCGGUGGGGUAACGGCCUACCGAGGCUUUGACGGGUAGCUGGUCUGAGAGGACGACCAGCCACACGGGGACUGAGACACGGCCCCG
rnacentral:rRNA from 1 species